rnacentral:piRNA from 1 species
UAAUCAGCUGGGUGCAUAGGUAGACU